UACGAAGGGGGCUAGCGUUGCUCGGAAUCACUGGGCGUAAAGGGCGCGUAGGCGGGGAGGUAAGUCGGGUGUGAAAUCCCUCGGCCCAACCGAGGAACUGCGCCCGAGACUGCUUCUCUUGAGUCCCGGAGAGGAAGGUGGAAUUCCCGGUGUAGCGGUGAAAUGUGUAGAGAUCGGGAGGAACACCGGUGGCGAAGGCGGCCUUCUGGACGGUGACUGACGCUGAGGCGCGAAAGCGUGGGGAGCAAACAGG
rnacentral:rRNA from 1 species